rnacentral:rRNA from 1 species
UACGAAGGGGGCUAGCGUUGCUCGGAAUCACUGGGCGUAAAGCGCACGUAGGCGGAUCGUUAAGUCGGAGGUGAAAUCCUGGAGCUCAACUCCAGAACUGCCUUCGAUACUGGCGAUCUUGGAGUCCGGGAGAGGUGAGUGGAGCUCCGAGUGUAGAGGUGAAAUUCGUAGAUAUUCGGAAGAACACCAGUGGCGAAGGCGGCUCACUGGCCCGGUACUGACGCUGAGGUGCGAAAGCGUGGGGAGCAAACAGG